ACUGGGCGUAAAGGGUCUGUAGGUGGUUUGUUAAGUCAGAUGUGAAAGCCCAUGGCUCAACCUUGGAACUGCAUUUGAUACUGGCAAACUAGAGUAUGGUAGAGGAAUGGGGAAUUUCUGGUGUAGCGGUGAAAUGCGUAGAGAUCAGAAGGAACACCAAUGGCGAAGGCAACAUUCUGGACCAAUACUGACACUGAGGGACGAAAGCGUGGGGAUCAAACAGGAUUAGAUACCCUGGUAGUCCACGCUGUAAACGAUGAGUACUAGCUGUUGGAUUCGGUGUAAAGGAUCUAGUGGCGUAGCUAACGCGUUAAGUACUCCGCCUGGGGACUACGGCCGCAAGGCUAAAACUCAAAGGAAUUGACGGGGACCCGCACAAGCGGUGGAGCAUGUGGUUUAAUUCGAUGCAACGCGAAGAACCUUACCUGGUCUUGACAUCCUGCGAACUUUCUAGAGAUAGAUUGGUGCCUUCGGGAACGCAGUGACAGGUGCUGCACGGCUGUCGUCAGCUCGUGUUGUGAAAUGUUGGGUUAAGUCCCGCAACGAGCGCAACCCCUAUUGAUAGUUACCAUCAUUAAGUUGGGUACUCUAUUGAGACUGCCGCUGACAAGGCGGAGGAAGGUGGGGACGACGUCAAGUCAUCAUGGCCCUUACGACCAGGGCUACACACGUGCUACAAUGGGUAUUACAGAGGGCAGCGAAGUAGCGAUAUGGAGCGAAACUCAGAAAGGUACUCUUAGUCCGGAUUGCAGUCUGCAACUCGACUGCAUGAAGUCGGAAUCGCUAGUAAUCGCAGGUCAGAAUACUGCGGUGAAUACGUUCCCGGGUCUUGUAC
rnacentral:rRNA from 1 species